UACGGGGGGGGCAAGCGUUGUUCGGAAUUACUGGGCGUAAAGGGCGCGUAGGCGGUCCGCUAAGUUGGAUGUGAAAACUCUGGGCUUAACCCAGAGCCUGCAUUCAAAACUGACGGGCUGGAGUUCUGGAGGGGAUAGCGGAAUUCCUGGUGUAGCGGUGAAAUGCGCAGAUAUCAGGAGGAACACCGGUGGCGAAGGCGGGUCUCUGGGCAAUAACUGACGCUGAGGAGCGAAAGCGUGGGUAGCAAACAGG
rnacentral:rRNA from 1 species